GAUUGAACGCUGGCGGUAUGCUUAACACAUGCAAGUCGAACGGAAACGAUACUAGCUUGCUAGUAGGCGUCGAGUGGCGGACGGGUGAGUAACGCGUAGGAAUCUGCCUGAUAGUGGGGGAUAGCCCGAAGAAAUUCGGAUUAAUACCGCAUAAUCUAUUCGUAGUAAAGUGGGGGACUUUCGAGCCUCACGCUAUCAGAUGAGCCUGCGUAAGAUUAGCUUGUUGGUAGGGUAAAAGCCUACCAAGGCGACGAUCUUUAGCUGGUCUGAGAGGAUGAUCAGCCACAUCGGGACUGAGACACGGCCCGAACUCCUACGGGAGGCAGCAGUGGGGAAUAUUGGACAAUGGGGGCAACCCUGAUCCAGCAAUACCGCGUGUGUGAAGAAGGCCUGAGGGUUGUAAAGCACUUUCAAUUGUGAAGAAAAGUUAGCGGUUAAUAACCGUUAGCCUUGACGUUAACUUUAGAAGAAGCACCGGCUAACUCCGUGCCAGCAGCCGCGGUAAUACGGAGGGUGCAAGCGUUAAUCGGAAUUACUGGGCGUAAAGCGUGCGUAGGCGGUUUAUUAAGUCAGAUGUGAAAGCCCCGGGCUUAACCUGGGAACUGCAUUUGAAACUGGUCAACUAGAGUAUGGUAGAGGAAAGUGGAAUUUCCGGUGUAGCGGUGAAAUGCGUAGAUAUCAGAAGGAACAUCAAUGGCGAAGGCAGCUUUCUGGACCAAUACUGACGCUGAGGUACGAAAGCGUGGGUAGCAAACAGGAUUAGAUACCCUGGGUAGUCCACGCCGUAAACGAUGAUAACUAGCCGUUGGGGGGAUUUACCCUUUAGUGGCGAAGCUAACGCGUUAAGUUAUCCGCCUGGGGAGUACGGCCGCAAGGUUAAAACUCAAAGGAAUUGACGGGGACCCGCACAAGCGGUGGGGCAUGUGGUUUAAUUCGAUGCAACGCGAAGAACCUUACCUGGUCUUGACAUCCUGCGAACUUUCUAGAAAUAGAUUGGUGCCUUCGGGAACGCAGUGACAGGUGCUGCAUGGCUGUCGUCAGCUCGUGUCGUGAGAUGUUGGGUUAAGUCCCGUAACGAGCGCAACCCCUAUCCUUAUUUGCCAGCACAUCAUGGUGGGAACUAUAAGGAGACUGCCGGUGAUAAACCGGAGGAAGGCGGGGACGACGUCAAGUCAUCAUGGCCCUUACGACCAGGGCUACACACGUGCUACAAUGGGAAGGACAAAGAGCCGCGAAGCCGCGAGGUGUAGCUAAUCUCAUAAACCUUUUCGUAGUCCGGAUUGGAGUCUGCAACUCGACUCCAUGAAGUCGGAAUCGCUAGUAAUCGUAGAUCAGAAUGCUACGGUGAAUACGUUCCCGGGUCUUGUACUCACCGC
rnacentral:rRNA from 1 species